AGCAUCUGGCGAGAGUGCUGUGGAACUUCGAAAGUUCGGGGCUUCGGGCAUAACAGCUGGUCUGUCUGCUACUGAAUUGUUGGGUUUACGUUAAUGGAAUGUUAAAAUGAAAAGAGUUUUAUAUUUAAUAAAGAAAAUAGAAGAGAAAAUAAACAUUUCUGCUGCGAGUCCGCAUAUCUUGCUGAUCUUCAAAACUGACAUUCGGCUUGGAAGCUUCCAUGUAAAUUCCAACAUAUAGGUGAACAUAUAGGUGAAGUGAUGUAAUAUGGCGUCACAUGUCAGAAGCAAGUUGACUUUAAGAAUUACCAUCUGUAUGGUGUGGAUUUUAUUACGACCAAGUGCAACAUGCUAGGGCUACGCAAGACUGUCUGGUUUGCACAGGCAGUACACUGCAGACUAGAAAACUGAACCAUUAACUGCAAAUGAGUCUGUGCAUCUUAAGAAGAAAAAGUUAUCUUUCUAUUUUCUGUGCAUCGUUUACUUACAAAUGCUGAAUUACAUAAGCUGACCAGCUGGAAAUGUUUUAUCUGCUCAACCUAUGGUAAAAACUGAAUCCUCACAGUCACACCACCUACUCCAUACACUUGACUGUGUGACACCAAUACUUUAAACCAGUUGAAUUCAAUAGUAGUUGAAUGAACAAAACGACUUAUCAAUACUUGAACGGAAUAAAAAAAAAAACGGCAAUUGCACUAAACCCAUAUUGACACGUUCAGGUUUGUGAACUUCACUACCUCUCGCCAUUCCAGCUUUUACUAUGUAUUGAUAGAUGCCGAACACUGUUUACAGAAUAAAGAGCCAAACCCAGAA
rnacentral:lncRNA from 1 species